UACGUAGGGGGCAAGCGUUGUCCGGAUUCAUUGGGCGUAAAGAGCGUGUAGGCGGCCAGGUAGGUCGGUUGUGAAAACUGGAGGCUCAACCUUCAGAGGUCGACCGAAACCAUCUGGCUAGAGUCCGGGAGAGGAGAGUGGAAUUCCUGGUGUAGCGGUGAAAUGCGUAGAGAUGUGUAGGAACACCAGUGGCGAAGGCGACUCUUUGGUCUGUAACUGACGCUGAGGCGCGAAAGCGUGGGGAGCAAACAGG
rnacentral:rRNA from 1 species